GACGAACGCUGGCGGCGUGCUUAACACAUGCAAGUCGAGCGGGAAACUUCGGUUUCCAGCGGCGGACGGGUGAGUAACACGUGGGCAACCUGCCUCACAAUGAGGGAUAGCCUUCCGAAAGGAAGAUUAAUACCUCAUAACACAAGAGAAACGCAUGUUUCUCUUGCCAAAGAAUUUCGUUGUGAGAUGGGCCCGCGGCGCAUUAGCUUGUUGGUGAGGUAACGGCUCACCAAGGCUUCGAUGCGUAGCCGACCUGAGAGGGUGAUCGGCCACAUUGGAACUGAGACACGGUCCAGACUCCUACGGGAGGAAGCAGUGGGGAAUAUUGCACAAUGGAGGAAACUCUGAUGCAGCAACGCCGCGUGAGUGAUGAAGGUCUUCGGAUUGUAAAGCUCUGUCUUCUGGGACGAUAAUGACGGUACCAGAGGAGGAAGCCACGGCUAACUACGUGCCAGCAGCCGCCGUAA
rnacentral:rRNA from 1 species